rnacentral:lncRNA from 1 species
UUUCCAUCACCCCUCACUAGUGCAUAUCUGCAAUCGUUCUCUCUCUCUCCCUUCCCUUAUCCUUGGAUAUUCUAAGCCUGACACAUCCACGUGAGCAAUCCCCUCCUUCUCACCCUCUGGUACCCUACUGUCCGGUCCUUUCCUGCAUGCCUGAGAUGAUAGAUCAAUUACUCUGGAGGAAGCUAGCUGCCAGAUUGUGUGCAGUUCUAUGGAGAGGCCCACAUGGUGAGGAACUAAAGCCCUUGCCCAAUAGCCAGACGGGAAUUCAAGCCUGCUAAUCAUCAGGAGCAGCUUGGAUGCUCCUCCUCAUGGCCAGUCUCCAGAGAGGCCUACUGCUCACCAGAUGUGUGGAUGAACAAACCUGAACAGCCUGGAGGCUGGUGAUAUCUACCCCCACAGCGCUUCUUCCUUGGUCCCCCAAGCAGGCUCCAUAACUCCAAGACUUCACGCAGCCUUUUCUGAACUUGGAAGUCAAGAGAAAAUUCACAGAACUUUGGAAAAUACAUUUUCUUUUAAGGAAGAAUUUUUUGUUUUCAUUUCAACAGCCCUGGCUGGUGAUGAGGGGUGAUGCGAGGUGCCCUGUUUUCCAUCCUAACACCUAUUUCCAGGUGGGGGCAGGGAGGGCUCCAACCUGAAAUGUUAUUUCAAAACCUUUCCGGGCCUUGCAGCUCCAUUUCCAGGCCACAUGCUGCAAAGCACGGCACGAUUUCCCAUUACGUGCUGUUGCCCUUUCUCGUCUGAGCACCUUUCAAAGUGGGAAGACCCAGCCUGCUGCAACACCCUCCCUCCUGUCCCCAUAAAUUAAGUCUCACUGCCUGAUGUGAGGCUUAAAUAAAUAGCCUUGCCCGGCACCCGAUGGCCACACUCCUGAUAGAUGGGCUUGCCAAGAGCAGCAAACUCAGCUCGCUCCUCCUUGCCCCUCCACAGAGAGAAGAUGAAACUGGUGUUUUGCAAAUGCUUCCUGCCUGCUUUCUGCCAGCCAAGGCACAUUCCAAGAAGGAGCAGGCCAGCAAAGUCUUGUCAUCUGACGGGGUGAGGACAGAGAUGGAUGAUGCGCUCUUUGCCAGAGAAGGCCACGUUCAGACACUCCCAGAUAGCCAGCUGCCACUUUAUUAACAGCAAAGAUCCCCAUCUGAACGAGGCUGGGAAAGAAAAUAUUUAUGCUUGCCUGUCAGGAGGACCUUCAUUUUUCUUCUGGGGAGCCAGCCAGGGUGCUAGUCCAGGGAUGGAGGAGUGUGACGUGCCUAUGGGGUUGCCCCAGGCCCUUCUGCAUCCCAGGGUUGAUGGAGAGUCCAGAAUGUUCCCAGGGCAGCUCUGGAUGGGGUCGGGAGGUUUCAGAAGAGCUGGAUAUAGGGAGUUCAGGGCCUGAGAAAGCAGAACACACCCUGGCACCUGUUAACUGCAAACAAGAGGACCUGGGUGGGGGAGUGGGUGCUACAGUUAGAAAUCAGUGGCAAAUAGGCCAUUAAAUGAUCUCAUUAUUAAUUAAAAACACAUAGCAGCAUGCAUCUGAUAAGAAACUUUGUACUAAGGAUAAAAUAAUUUUGUAUUGGCAGAAAAUAUCAACACUGGAGCAGAGCUUAUCAUUUAAGCUGGGCAUAUAUUAAAAUCAGUUUAUAUUAUUACUCUUCUCAUGGUCAUUAUUUUGAACAAAAGUUGAAAACCAGUUCUUUAACGGUUUC